CCCUUAGAUGUUCUGGGCCGCACGCGUGCUACACUGAGUAAUUCAAUGGGUAAGGGAACGCUAGAGCAUUACCUAAUCUUGAAAUUUGCUCGUGAUGGGGAUCGACGGUUGCAAUUUUCCGUCGUGAACGAGGAAUACCUUGUAGGCGCAUGUCAUCAUAAUGCGCCGAAUACGUCCCUGCCCUUUGUACACACCGCCCGUCGCUCCUACCGAUUGAGUGAUCCGGUGAGGCUCUGGGACCUGGACGGAAAGAGCGUUUCGCUUGUUCUGUUUGGGAAACUUGGUCGAACCUUAUCAUUUAGAGGAAGGAGAAGUCGUAACA
rnacentral:rRNA from 1 species